rnacentral:rRNA from 1 species
UCCUGCAUCCCUCGUUGGGAGCAGGCGCAAGCUCCGGGCUCACGCUUUCGUUCGGUUCGCUUUCUUCCUUUGUGGGGACUGUGGACUGAAUGGUGAGCACCGCGGAGCAUGCAUGCUAUGACCCGAAAGAUAGUGAACUAUGCCUGGCGAGGGUGAAGCCCCAGGAAACUGGGGUGGAGGCCCGUAGCCGUUGUGACGUGCAAAUCCAUGGCGUCAGUUGGGCAUAGGGGCGAAAGACCAAUCGAACUAUCUAGUAGCUGGUUCCACCCGAAGUUUCUCUCAGGAUAGCUGAUCCGCUGCAAGUUACUUGCUCUGGCGGGCGGCCUCGUAUACACUCUUGCCCACGGGCGAGUGGCGAAAUGGCUUGACACAGUUUCGAAUGGUAAAGAGAAUGAUUAGAGCUACUGGGCUGCGGACGGGGCGUGCGCGCAUUCGUGUGUGUCUCGUUCGUCCGCGCACGUUGGGGCGGGGAUGCAAAACACCUCGCACUAUUCUCAAACUUUAAAUGUUCGAGUGCCCCGGCAUGGUCGUGCUUAUUGCCGGGUGCCACUCGUUCAUGUGGGUCCCGACUGUCCCCUCGUGCAAGCUCGACCUCGCUCUCUAACGAACUGUGUGUUGGGCGUUCGCGUCUGACACUGGUACGCCAAGGUGUGUGUGUCGCUUGACCAGAAUUGGCGGAUUCAGUGGGUCUGUUCUGGUAAGCAGGACUGAUAAUGAGGGAUGAACCUCACGUCAUGCUAAGGGGCCUAAA